rnacentral:rRNA from 1 species
UACAGAGGGUGCGAGCGUUGUCCGGAAUCACUGGGCGUAAAGGGCGCGUAGGUGGCGGCCCAAGUCCAUGGUGAAAGCUCGAUGCUCAACAUCGAGUCGGCCACGGAUACUGGGUUGCUCGAGCACUGUAGGGGCAGAUGGAAUUCCGGGUGUAGCGGUGGAAUGCGUAGAGAUCGGAAAGAACACCAACGGCGAAAGCACUCUGCUGGGCCGACACUGACACUGAGAGACGAAAGCUAGGGGAGCGAAUGGG